CAAAGGAGAGAUCCGGUACCGGCUGGGCAUGCGGCGCAUUAGCUAGUUGGCGGGGCAACGGCCCACCAAGGCGACGAUGCGUAGGGGUUCUGAGAGGAAGGUCCCCCACACUGGAACUGAGACACGGUCCAGACUCCUACGGGAGGCAGCAGUGAGGAAUAUUGGUCAAUGGGCGCAAGCCUGAACCAGCCAAGUCGCGUGAGGGAAGACGGCCCUACGGGUUGUAAACCUCUUUUGCCGGGGAGCAAGCCUGAGCACGUGUGCCCAGGCGGAGAGUACCCGGAGAAAAAGCAUCGGCUAACUCCGUGCCAGCAGCCGCGGUAAUACGGAGGAUGCGAGCGUUAUCCGGAUUUAUUGGGUUUAAAGGGUGCGCAGGCGGGCUGUUAAGCCGGCGGUAAAAAUUCAGGGCUCAACCCUGUCGAGCCGUCGGAACUGGCAGUCUUGAGUGGGCGAGAAGUAUGCGGAAUGCGUGGUGUAGCGGUGAAGUGCAUAGAUAUCACGCAGAACGCCGAUUGCGAAGGCAGCAUACCGGCGCCCAACUGACGCUGAGGCACGAAAGCGUGGGGAUCGAACAGGAUUAGAUACCCUGGUAGUCCACGCAGUAAACGAUGAGCGCUAACUGUCCGGAGCGAGCGAGCUCUGG
rnacentral:rRNA from 1 species